UACGUAGGGAGCAAGCGUUGUCCGGAAUCAUUGGGCGUAAAGCGCGCGUAGGCGGCCCUGUAAGUCCGUUGUGAAAGUCAAAGGCUCAACCUUUGAAAGCCGAUGGAUACUGCAGGGCUAGAGUCCGGAAGAGGCGAGUGGAAUUCCUGGUGUAGCGGUGAAAUGCGUAGAUAUUGGGAGGAACACCAGUGGCGAAGGCGGCUCACUGGACCGGAACUGACGCUGAGGCGCGAAAGCGUGGGGAGCAAACAGG
rnacentral:rRNA from 1 species